rnacentral:rRNA from 1 species
GCAUAACGCGAAGAACCUUACCAGGUCUUGACAUCCAGAGAACUUAGCAGAGAUGCUUUGGUGCCUUCGGGAACUCUGAGACAGGUGCUGCAUGGCUGUCGUCAGCUCGUGUUGUGAAAUGUUGGGUUAAGUCCCGCAACGAGCGCAACCCUUAUCCUUUGUUGCCAGCGGUUAGGCCGGGAACUCAAAGGAGACUGCCAGUGAUAAACUGGAGGAAGGUGGGGAUGACGUCAAGUCAUCAUGGCCCUUACGAGUAGGGCUACACACGUGCUACAAUGGCGCAUACAAAGAGAAGCGACCUCGCGAGAGCAAGCGGACCUCAUAAAGUGCGUCGUAGUCCGGAUUGGAGUCUGCAACUCGACUCCAUGAAGUCGGAAUCGCUAGUAAUCGUGGAUCAGAAUGCCACGGUGAAUACGUUCCCGGGUCUUGUACACACC